CCCGGGCCUUGUACACACCGCCCGUCACACCAUGGGAGUUUGUUGCACCAGAAGCAGGUAGCUUAACCCUUUGGGAGGGAGCCGUCGAAGGUGGGGCCCGUGACUGGGGUG
rnacentral:rRNA from 1 species